CAGUCGCCGCGGUAACACGUAGGUGGCAAGCGUUGUCCGGAAUUAUUGGGCGUAAAGGGCUCGCAGGCGGUUUCUUAAGUCUGAUGUGAAAGCCCCCGGCUCAACCGGGGAGGGUCAUUGGAAACUGGGAAACUUGAGUGCAGAAGAGGAGAGUGGAAUUCCACGUGUAGCGGUGAAAUGCGUAGAGAUGUGGAGGAACACCAGUGGCGAAGGCGACUCUCUGGUCUGUAACUGACGCUGAGGAGCGAAAGCGUGGGGAGCGAACAGGAUUAGAUACCCCUGUAGUCCCUGUCUCUUAUAA
rnacentral:rRNA from 1 species